CGUCAUAACUUAUCCAUUAUGAUGGAAACAACAUCUGUCGCUAGGGGUCGUAACCCUUUCUCCUGUCAGUCAGUUGUUAGGCUGAGAUUCGUAUGCGGGAUGUUGUUGCCUGCGUUUGUGCAGAACUCUAAAUUUCUGUUGCCCACGCCGCAUUCCGUACUCUGACACCUGCGAUCUCUUGUCCAACCACCUGCUCCAAGCAGCUGACGUGAUUCACGCCCUUUCCCGCAAUAACAUUUUUGUUUCUUUCUCAUCGAGUUGGGAGCAGUUAGUUCAUCGAUAAGGCUUACUCCUCCUCGUGAAACUUCCUCAUCUGGACUAACCGAGAAAAGAAUUGGCCAGAAGUUUGUGUUCCAAGGAUAUUUUAUUGUGUUUAAAUAAAACACUAAUACCAUAUACUAAAAGAAAGGACAUUUCCGACGUUUCAAUGUGAUGAAGAGCAUCAGAUUUUUUCCUUGCUUUAUUAUAAAUUUAUUCGGUGAUUCCAAGGAAGUUUUUCGAACAACAGGAUCAUAAAUUCUUUGAUUACACUACAAGGCAAGACAUUCUAGUAAGAAAUGAGAAUGAUUGGGAGAAGCAGAAGUCGAAGAAGCUCACACCGAAUCCUUUUCCUGCUACAAAUUAUCCAGUUGUGCAAAAUGUAAUCUAUACGAC